rnacentral:rRNA from 1 species
AUCAACGCUGGCGGCGUGCCUCAGACAUGCAAGUCGAACGCGAAAUUUCCCUUCGGGGAGAAAGUAGAGUGGCGCACGGGUGAGUAACACGUAGGUAAUUUGCCUUUGGGUGGGGAAUAACUCAGGGAAACUUGAGCUAAUACCGCAUAAUGCAGCGGCUCGACAUCGAGACAGUUGUUAAAGCGGGGGAUCGCAAGACCUCGCGCCUAAAGAGAAGCCUGCGGCAGAUUAGCUAGUUGGUAGGUAAUGGCCUACCAAGGCAACGAUCUGUAACCGGCCUGAGAGGCGGUCGGUCACACUGACACUGACAUACGGGUCAGACUCCUACGGGAGGCAGCAGUCGGGAAUUUUGGGCAAUGGGCGAAAGCCUGACCCAGCAACGCCGCGUGAAGGAU